AGAGUUUGAUCAUGGCUCAGGACGAACGCUGGCGGCGUGCUUAACACAUGCAAGUGGAGCGACGAACCAGGGCUUGCCCUGGGGCAAAGCCGCGAACGGGUGAGUAACACGUGGGUUACCUGCCUCGAUGACCGGGACAACCCGAGGAAACUCGGGCUAAUACCGGAUGUGACCGCAAGGGGAAAGGAAGCUUCGGCCUCCGCAUCGAGAUGGGCCCGCGGCCCAUUAGCUUGUUGGUGAGGUAACGGCUCACCAAGGCGACGAUGGGUAGCUGGUCUGAGAGGACGAUCAGCCACACUGGGACUGAGGCACGGCCCAGACUCCUACGGGAGGCAGCAGUGGGGAAUCUUGCGCAAUGCGCGAAAGCGUGACGCAGCAACGCCGCGUGGGGGAAGAAGGCUUUCGGGUUGUAAACCCCUUUCAGUUGGGACGAAGCUUCGCCGGUGAAUAGCCGGCCGGAGUGACGGUACCUUCACAAGAAGCACCGGCUAACUACGUGCCAGCAGCCGCGGUAAUACGUAGGGUGCAAGCGUUGUUCGGAAUUAUUGGGCGUAAAGAGCGUGUAGGCGGCUCGAUUAGUCCGCUGUGAAAGUCCAGGGCUCAACCCUGGAAUGCCGGUGGAUACUGUCGAGCUAGAGUCCGGAAGGGGCGAGUGGAAUUCCUGGUGUAGCGGUGAAAUGCGCAGAUAUCAGGAGGAACACCAAUGGCGAAGGCAGCUCGCUGGGACGUGACUGACGCUGAGACGCGAAAGCGUGGGGAGCAAACAGGAUUAGAUACCCUAGUAGUCC
rnacentral:rRNA from 1 species